rnacentral:misc_RNA from 1 species
CGUAAGGCGCCGGAUGAGUCAUUAAAAAUUAAACAUCAUCCGAUCCCUAGUCGGCAUAGUUUAUGGUUAAGACUACGACGGUAUCUGAUCGUCUUCGAUCCCCUAACUUUCGUUCUUGAUUAAUGAAAACAUCCUUGGCAAAUGCUUUCGCAGUAGUUAGUCUUCAAUAAAUCCAAGAAUUUCACCUCUGACAAUUGAAUACUAAUGCCCCCAACUAUCCCUAUUAAUCAUUACGUCGAUCCUAGAAACCAACAAAAUAAGAUCAAACGUCCUAUUUCAUUAUUCCAUGCUAAUGUAUUCAAGCUUAAGCCUGCUUUAAACACUCUAAUUUUUUCACAGUAACAGUCCUGAUUCCCCAC